rnacentral:rRNA from 1 species
AGAGUUUGAUCAUGGCUCAGAACGAACGCUGGCGGCAUGCCUAACACAUGCAAGUCGAGCGGCAGCGGGCCCGCAAGGGUGCCGGCGAGCGGCGGACGGGUGAGCAAUACAUAGGAAUCUGCCUCAGAGCGGGGGAUAGCCCGGGGAAACCCGGAUUAAUACCGCAUGAUGUCGAGAGACCAAAGUGGGGGACCGUAAGGCCUCACACUCUGAGAUGAGCCUAUGUCGGAUUAGCUAGUUGGCGGGGUAACGGCCCACCAAGGCGACGAUCCGUAGCUGGUCUGAGAGGACGAUCAGCCACACCGGAACUGAGACACGGUCCGGACUCCUACGGGAGGCAGCAGUGGGGAAUAUUGGACAAUGGGCGAAAGCCUGAUCCAGCGACGCCGCGUGGGUGAAGAAGGCCUUCGGGUUGUAAAGCCCUUUGAGCCGGGACGAAAAAAUCGGCGAUAACAUCGCCGGUCUUGACGGUACCGGAAGAAUAAGCACCGGCUAACUCUGUGCCAGCCGCCGCGGUAAUAC